AUAUCCCUGUGAAACCAACAAGACAAAAGAAAGAGAAAGAAGAAGAAAACUGAUUUAGGGGUUUCCUUCUCAGGGGUUCCUCACUGAUGAUGUGUUAGAGAGUUACUCAAACUCUGGAUCUGCUAGGAAUAUAUAGUCCAGCCCCUUAGGUUUUCCCCAACCCUAGCAGCGGUUACGUAAGUGAGAGAUUUUAGGUGAGCAUUAAAGCUCGUAACUGGAAGUGGGCUCCCCUUACAGUUACGAUAUGAAUGGGUAGGGCUCAUGGCCACUACCACUACCCAACAUCUCCCACUUGGCCAUGAGACCGCCAGUUUGCUUCCACUCUAUGUGGGUUUUCUUUAUUCAAUUUGUUACGUGGUUUUUCAUAAUUGGCUUUUCCAACGCAACCUAACCUUUUUCAAGGUUUACAGCGAGGUUUUCCAUUCAAUGGUUUUUCCUUUGCAACCUUUCAAAUAUUCAAUAUAUAUCACAUUAUAUCAUAUUAAAACUUAGUCCCAUCAAGAAUUCUCUUGAUUAUAAUACUAGCAAUCAUAUAAGCAUUUGGAACGUGCAUGCAUAUUUUCUUCUUAUUCAACAAUGAAAUCAACCUGAAUAUUUUUCAACCACCUCACAAAGAGGCAAACCAGGAAUUUCUUAGCCUCAUACGGGCUACAUGCUUGACAAAUCAUUUAGAAUUCCUUUUGUUAAAAAAUGCUAACAAUCACUUGAAUAUAUCAUUUGUUUCAUUCAUGUAUCUCAAACAUUUAACUGCCAUAAAACAAGGGUCAGCCUGGACUUUUUUAAUGUAUACUUACAAGCCAAAUUAGAAGCUUGUACCAAGUCCAGCACACAAACUAAUAUGCAUUAAAACACAUGGAAUAUUUUCCUUUACUGUAUUCCAUAAUUACUUAACUCCUUUAACAACAGGAGUUCCAUAGCAUUUAUGCAAUGCAUUAUAUCAUAUGGCAAAGCAAUAUUAGCUUUUCAACAUAGUAAAUGGCAUAUUCAAGUGUGCUCCUACUUAUCAAAUAUUUACAUAGUCAUCAACUUGAUUAGCGACACCUAAUCUUUAUUUAUUUAAGGGAAUGAGCAAUCAACCCAUAGUCUAUUAUACAAGCACUUUUCAUCUUGUAUAAUUUUCAUCAAUGUACUCUCUCAUACAAUGAGUUUCAUUUAACUCAUCAAGGUCAAUACAUAAUUUUGACAACUCAUGCAUGCAAUAUACAAUUCACAUAUCUCUACAUAUGUAUACCACAAGAUAAUCAAUAAGAUCACUAAUAAGCUUCAGUUAGACGUUUAAUACCAAACUGAUCUUAGUCGGUUCAUUACCUGACCGCUUAUUAGCAUAUUCAAUCAAGUAAACUUGAUCACCAAAUAAAUAGUCAGUUUUUGUACAUGCAACAAUUAUUCACAUAUAAUCAUGGAGCUCAGUACCCAGUCGGUUCAUUACCAGACUGAUCAUCAUAAGAAUCGUACACAAUUGAUUCAUUAUUAAAUUGUUUCACAGUCGGUUCAUUGCCAGACUGUUAUCCAGUUGGUUCAUUGCCAAACUGUUCCUCAGUCGGUUCAUUGUCAGACUGAUUAUCUGAAUAAAUCAGAUCCUCCAAUAGAUCGUUAUGAUCUCCCACUGGAUUAUUGUAUUCAGUAUUCUUAUUCGAACACUUCAAACUCAUGCAUAAAAAGAAAAUGUCAUAUACCAUACUUUCAUUUGGGUAUCCAAUAUAUAUGUAUUUGCAAACACAUCGUUUCAUUUUUAGAUAUGCAUUUAGCAUGCAUUAUAGAUCUCCAAGGAUCUCAAUAUGGAUCUAAUUAGUGUGGAUCUCAUUAUUUUCAUGAGUAUUAUUUUAUACCUCAUGGAAAAUUUAAAAUUAAAUUGGUCCUCAAACAGAAACUUGCUUAAUAGCAAGCUAGCUUUGUUUGAUCCUCAAACGAACAAAUAACAUAAUAUGCUUGGAUCUAAUAUAAACAAGAUAUGGAUGUUUAACCAUAUAUCCAAAUAUAUAUUCAAAUCUGAAUCAAUGGUGUAUAUAAGGUGGAUCUCAAACAAUGAAUAGAUCCAAUUCCAAAAGCCACAUGAAUAUAAAGAUUCAGAUUAUAUUAGUGUAGAUCCAAACCAGAAACAUCCACAAUACAAUUAAUAUGAGUUUAAAACACAUGAUCCUCAUUGAAAUAUUAUACAAUAUGAUUCAACAACCAUAUUUGGAUCAUUGCUAACCCAUCUCUCUUUUGAGAAAAACAAGUUAUCAUGUAUUAACACUUUAGUUCUACAAAGCUUCAAACAAAUGCAUUCUUGCCAAUAUUAAUUUUGGUCCAAGAGUAUUAUAUUACAUCUCUUGAGUAUGCAUUAAAACAAAUUCAUUUUCCUAAGAAAGAAAGGCAAAUGAAGCUUUAUUCAAUGAUUUUCAAAAAUAACCUUUGGAUCUAGAAUGACAACACGUAUUGCAGUAUGAUCAUAUCCAAAGGCAACCAUGAUAACAUAUAUUGGAACUAAAACAACAGGAUAUAUGAAUUAUUCUCACAUAUCCAAACAAGUUAGUUUAGAUCUGCAGCUAAACUUUACGUAAUGUGGAUUUUAUUAGUUCAAAUAUGGAAAUUCAGAUCCAACUAGCAAUAUCCACAAUACAAUAGUCUGAAUUUAAAAAACACAAAUGAUCCAUAUGAAGUAUUGUGCACUAUGAUUUCAAUAACCAUGCUUGGAUCUAAACAAUAGUCCAACUUUUGAACAAGGUGAAAACAAGAAAAAUUCCUCUACCUUGAGAUGAUGCAUGUUUGUACCCAAACUAAUCCAUCACCCUUAAGAGCAAAUAAAGCAAGUCUUUAAAUCAAGACAUUCAAAUUUAUACGGGUUUCAGUCCAAGAGUGUUACAUUACACCUCUUGAAUAUAUAUUUUAAAACAAGUUGACUUCAUUAAUGGAGUAAAUAAAGCCUUGUUCAAUAGCACUCUAGAAUGAUUUGAAUCUAAAAGGACAACAAAUAUCACAAUAUCAUUGGAUCCAAAAAGCAAACAUGAUAUAUUGUGUUUAGUAACAGUACGAGAAUUUGGAUCCAAUGAUUCAACCAAGUUAAUUUGGAUCUUAAUGUAUCACGACCCAACAUAAUGUUAUAAGGAUCUCACCAUGUCUAAGAGUGUUGAUUUACACCUCUUAGCAUAUCAACAUGUAAUAACAUAAUCAUUCCUUCUAACUGGAAUUCAUCUUUAGCACUCUAGUGUUACACAUUGAAAAUGUACAACUUGUAAAACUAUUAGCUCUAAAAAUCAAUGUUCAUCAUAAUAUGUUUAGAUCUAAUAUAAGCAAUAUAUAGAUCUUGAACAAGUCAAAUUAGAUCAUGCUCCAAAAGAGUGCAACGUUUAGUGUGAGAUCCAAAUUCAACAACUAAAUGGAUAUUUAAAACAAAACUUUGGUCAUAUCUAAUAUAUGCAUAGACCCAAAAUGACGAAGAAUAUUCAUAAAUCAAGUAUAAUAACAUAUACUUGAACCAACAUAAACAUGAUAUAGAUUUUUAACCAAUAACCAAACAAAUUUAGAUCUGAAUAUGUCAUGAUUCAAACUGAAUCCAAAUAUGGAUUUAAGCAACAAUCAGAUCCAAAGCACAAAAUUCAAAUAUUGAUUUAGUUUCAGAUCUUACCCAUGUCGAUCCACACACAAUAAUAUCAAUACUAAUUGAUAUGUGUUUAAACAAAUAAAGAGGAUCAAAAUCCAAAAUGAAUGUGUUUCAACACCAUAUCCAUAUCCAAAUAAGAUUUUAGUUAGUGUACAAGCAUAGAGUUUAUACCGCCAUUUGAUCAUGCAUCCAUAAAUAACAAAACUGCAUAAAUACAUGUUAUAAACCAUGUAGUUUUUUGUUUUUGACCAAUUUUGAGGCUCCCACUCUAAAAGCCAUUACCAAAUUAAUUCCAUGACAAAUAUAGAACAAUAAUACAUGGAAAUCAAUAAGGAGAAUAAUAUAUCAAAUAUCUCCAAAACCAGGUAUCACUUAAAUAAGGAAAAGUCAUAUUAAAAUUUUAGACCGAGAGUUUCCUUUCUCAUUUUCAAAAUUGCCUUUAGAACUCUUUUCUGUAAUUUUAAUAAGCCUGAGUGGUACUUGUAUGCAAUUUUACAAUAUAGCUCGGUCUUUCACCGAAAUUGCAAAACAAUCUUCUGGAACCCUCUUUUAGAAAAUUAUAAUAAGUCUGUGGGUAUUACGACGCAAUUUCAUAUAAAAUCACGGACUUCUACUGAAAUUGUAAAAUAAUUUAUCGGAACCCUCUUUUAGAAAUUUAUAAUAACUCAGGGGGUACCCUACGCAAUUUCAUAUAAAUUUCUAGGUUUUCACCAAAAUUAAGUUUCGCAAACCUCUUUCUGAAAAAGUUUUUAUCAAAAACGUUGCGGCAUUAAUUUAUCAAAAUUGUAACAACUUUUUUGAAAAUUAUGCAAAACUGGUGGACUGAUUUUGUAAUUUUCACACUUUUGGUAUAAAUACCCCUCCGAACCGUUUUUCACUCAUUUUUCUGCUCGAUACUCUCUCUCCUCUCGCGUGAACCCUUUCUCCUCUUGCGAGAGCUGCGCGAGGGUUUCACAUUGCAGCUUCUUCCUGCCCACCGAUGCCUUCAGCCGCCGCCUCCUCCUUCUCUGCCCUCGCUCUUUCUCUGUUGACACCUUGAGGAAGACAACUUCCCCAAACCAGAAGCUUUAAAAAAUGGCUUCCUCAGUCUCGCUUUCGCUGAGACAACGGUGAACCGGCAGACUACAGAGGAACGACAGGAGGAGGUUUCCAAGGCGUAACGCUGUCUUCCCCUUUACCCAAGUCGCCUCCUUGCUUUCAGCAAGAGAUCUGUGCUUCUCGCACGAGGAAGACGACUGUCUUCCAGUCGAUCGGGCGACUGCUACUUUUCAUCGGUAGAGAAGGCGGGCAGACAGGUCGAGAUCAAGAAAGGAUUUUAAGUCCCAACAAAAAACAGUAACUGUUCCUCCGGUUUUGACAGACAGGAGAAUCCCGGCUCUUUUCCAGGUAGCCGUUGGGUCAGUUUCUCAAACAAGAGCAAAGGAAUUGGGUGCAGGUUAGGAGAUAUGCUUUGAAGGUAAUUGAUUGGGGAGCAGCUAGCUGGAAUUGCAUUUGCUGUAGGUGAAUGCAUAUUGAAGUCACGUUCAGUUAAAGACUGAUGCAUGCUGAAGCAACUUGAAGAUUGCAGCAGCAGAUGAGCUACUGAAUUGAAACGGGCACAUACUGCUGAACUAUAUUGGCUGAGUAGAGACUUAGGUGACUGCAUCUACUGAUUGUGGCAAGUUGGGAUGAGAGCCCAACUGCAAUGGACAACACAGACUGGGCUUAUUUCUAUUUUAGAUAGUAGCUGAUUGAUGCUGCACUUGUGAAAAUUGAUGCAUGCUGGCGCUGGGUUGGUUAAGAUUUGAAAAUAGAAGAACACACCCACAUGGGCUGAUUUUAAUUGAUGUUUUUAAAAGCGGUCAGCUUUAAUUAGGCUGGUCUGGUUCUUCCUUAGAAACUUAAGAUUCUUUUGCCAAAACGAAACAACUUAAAGAAAAAAUUGAGUAGAGUGGUGACUUUGAGAUGAAAGAUCUCAGGGCAGCAAAGAAUAUUUUGGGCAUGGAUUGUACCUAUCAUAGAAAAAGUAUGUGGAGAAGGUGGUAAAGCAGUUCGGCAUGAAAGAUUGCAAAGCCAUUAGUGAUCCAUUAACAGCUUACUUCAGAUUGCCUGAGAAACAUAGUACGCAUUCGACCGGAUAUUUCUCAAGCUAUAAGUGUUGUUAGCAUCUACAUGGGAAAUCUAGGGAAGGUCCAUUGGGAGGCUUUAAAGUGGAUUCUUUGUUAUCUCAAAGGACACAAUGGUUGUUCAAAAGAUCUCUACAAUGGAGACCCAACGGACCUGUUGAUGAAAUCUAUUCCUUCAUAAAAGUUCAGGAAUUGCUUGGACUUAAUUCACUUGCACGGCAGGUAAUGCGGGCCUUAACAUAGCACAUGUGCAAUGAUGGUGAUCAGGAUGAAGCUUGAUGCUGGAUGCGGCUUAUGAAGAAGAACCAAGAGAAGAAUUUGUUGUUUUAUGGCUCAUCUUCCUUGUUGAACAUAGGUUAGUGGUUUCCAUCUUCCAUGGGACAUGGGGAAUAAAUAGUUUCAGUCUCCACUUUUCAUGGGAACAUAAGAGUGGGUAGUCAGCAACUUCGUAAUUAAGACUGAGGUGAAGGGAAAGAGUGAGUGAGUUUUUGUAAAGAGAAUUUGUUUGUCUUGGGUUAAGUGUUCUACUCUUGUGUAAUUCUUCAUAUUCAGUAAAGUUCUUCUGAUCGUUGUUGCCUAUGGAUGUAGGAAGGCACCCUUCUUCUCAAUCACGUAAAUCAUGUCUUAUUUUAACACAUAC